CAGUAGCCGCGGGAAAACAGAGGGUGCGAGCGUUAAUCGGAUUUACUGGGCGUAAAGCGUGCGUAGGCGGCUUUUUAAGUCGGAUGUGAAAUCCCUGAGCUUAACUUAGGAAUUGCAUUCGAUACUGGGAAGCUAGAGUAUGGGAGAGGAUGGUAGAAUUCCAGGUGUAGCGGUGAAAUGCGUAGAGAUCUGGAGGAAUACCGAUGGCGAAGGCAGCCAUCUGGCCUAAUACUGACGCUGAGGUACGAAAGCAUGGGGAGCAAACAGGAUUAGAGACCCCAGUAGUCCCUGUCUCUUAUAC
rnacentral:rRNA from 1 species